UUUUUUUCAAAGAACUAAGCAAAAGGCACUCAUAAAGCACUUCGAUCACAUAAACUCCAACUCCAUCUAAGGAAUCCAAUAUAUUCAUGGUGAUAGCCGACCUCUUAAUCUCAAGUUCACGCGCCCCACGCACAGUAAGCCAAAGCCUGAGACAUCAGGGCUUGAAGGCGGAGAAAGAUUUGUUCCCAUUGGCCCAAACGGGUAGUUGGGAGCCUGGGUUCCCUCAAAGCCGCCUCCGGGAGACCAGAAGGCAGCGGGGUUUUAUGGAGCUAGGGGCUUGGCGGGAGGAGCUUCCGGCAAACACAGGGGUCACUUCCCAUAAGCCCCUGGGAAAGCUGACUCCCGGGGCAAGGCUGCUGAGGGCCGGCCAGCGGGAUGAACCUCCCUGAGGGCGUUCUCUUUCUUCCGCAAAAGGAGCUCACAAAUCCUCAAGACACCGAGUCACCCCUCAAGUUAACAGGAAAAAACAGCAAAUUGCUUUACUAUCUGCAGUACCCCUCAGGCACCCGGCUUCAAUGGCACAACCUGAAGAUUCCGAGCUAAACUGAUUUUCCUCAAGUUAAGAAUGCAUCAGGGGCCGCCCGGGCCGAGUGGUUGAGUUCCAGCGCUCCAAUGCAGUGGCCAAGGGCGUCACGGGUUCGGAUCCUGGGCGCCGACAUGACGCUGAUCGUCAGGCCACGGUGAGGCGGCGUCCCACAUGCCUCAACUAGAAGGACCUGCAACUAAGAUAGACAACUAUGUACUGGGGGGAUUUGGGGAGAAAAAGGAAAAGAAAAAAAAGAAUGCAUCAAACCAAGUUUGAAUUUUUACCCCCCAGUUAUUUGCAACAUGACCAAUUCUCAUGGAUGAGGGAGGCAAAGGCCCUUCAGGGCAAGACGUGGUGAGAACUUAUCAAACCUACUGUCCUCAGAGAGCACAGUACAGGGAUUUUCCUCGUGAGGGCCCCCGGGUCCCUCACCGCGAAAGCAGCGAGGAAGGAGCGAGAGGUGGCUACACGGCGACGACGCAGAAAGACGCGGCGGGAAGGAAGAAAAAACAGAAAACCAAAGGGGGAAAAAAUGGAGCCUACUGAGGAGACGCAGGGGCGGCUUCAGCUCCAGCGGCGGCGACGGCGACAGCACUGGCGGGGGGCUGCGCAGCACCAUGGGGCCUAGAAGGGCCUAGAAGAGGCGCGGGGCGGCGCUCCCCGGGUCGGGAGAAGCGCAGGGCGCGGAGGAGCCGCGGCGUGUUGGCGUGCUCCUGCCCGGCGCGGGGACGGGAGAGUGGGCCUGGAUCCCCUCGAUAGGGGCCCGCAGGACGCGCGACAGGCCCUCGGCGGAGCGGGCCUCCCCACGACGCGCUCGCACGAUGUCGCAGGAACCCAGGAAGUCGACGCGACUGUCGGCAUCGCUGGUUUCGGAGUCGCUGAAGAAGUGCCGGAAGUCGCCGCCGCCGUGCUUCCUCAGGCCGUCGGCGGGCGGCCCCGCGGGCUCCCUGUUCCCGAGGACACCAGCUGGUCUUGGACGGCGCGGCACGUGCAGUGGCCGCCAGCUGGAUCUCCUCCAUCUCUCGAGUCGUGGCCUCCAGGAUGGCGGCAAGCUUCUUUCCCUGGUCACGGCGAAGCUGGGCCCGGAUCCUCUCACGCCGCCCCUUCUUUCGCGCCUUCUUUGUGCCCUUGAGAGGCGGGGCGGCUGGGCCUCGAGAUCCAUCUUGGCAAGAUCUUCAGUGACAGAAUCGAGGUUGCUGUCAUCAGGAAAAUUCUUUUGGAGCUUCUCUAGUUCCUGCUGGUGCCUGGGCUCCGUUGUGGCCUCAAGACUGGCCACGUCGAGGAGCAGCUGCUUCCUUCCUUUCCGGUUGCUCCUGGGUCGGGCCUACAGCUCUUUCUUCUUGAGGUGGUGGCGUCGUACCAUCCGCUGGUGCUCCUUCUGCCGAUCUUUCCUGAUAUUUAACGGCAGGCCAGAAUGGAAGUUUGGCGGCAGCUAAAGUACCGGCUGCUGUUCAGACUAACGGCGCAAACCGCGAUCAGGCCACGGGUCCUCAGCCUCCCCUGGCCGCUGCAGUCUGUAAAGCGUGACUUUUGCAAUGGGACAGGAUCCUUCAGGAGGUCCUGAGCCACUGGAAUACUCAGAGCCUGGGGACCUGUGUGACAGGAUGGAGGAGGGAUUUCUACGUUGAGCCGGAGGGUGGACGGUUUCUUUCUAGGGCCCUUAUGUCUCUGAGGGCGUGUGGCUACUGGGACCACCUUAGACUCUGCCCCAGGGGGGCUGUUAUUGGCCAUCUAGGGCUCCUCGGGUGUCACCUUUGGGGCUGAUGUCUGCUUCAUGUCAGGUCUACCCCCAGCACUUUGCCACAGACCUGAUCCGCGUUACUCCCAGAAAGGGCCCAACUUCAGCUCAGAGAAUUCCUACAGUCUGGCCCCUUCAGAUCACCCCCUUUCUCUUUGCCCCACUUGCUUGGCUCCCAGUCUUGGUUCCCCCUUCCCAUUUUGCCCCUUUUGGAUUUGCUGACCCUAGCAUGGGCCCACACAUCCACAGGACCCUGCUUCUGCUACAGGACUCUCAGCCGCCGGCCCUGCAGCCCUGGGCACAAGACACUGCGCUUCCUCUCCUAGUCAGAUGUCUAAGACUUCACUGCCCAUCCCUGUCCUGGAGAAAAGCUGCCCACAAGGACUCCCCAAAGUCACUCAUGAAACAUAAAAUAUUGUCAUAGG
ensembl:lncRNA